GACGAACGCUGGCGGCGUGCCUAAUACAUGCAAGUAGAACGCUGAAGGAGGAGCUUGCUUCUCCGGAUGAGUUGCGAACGGGUGAGUAACGCGUAGGUAACCUGCCUGGUAGCGGGGGAUAACUAUUGGAAACGAUAGCUAAUACCGCAUAAGAGUAGAUGUUGCAUGACAUUUGCUUAAAAGGUGCAAUUGCAUCACUACCAGAUGGACCUGUGUUGUAUUAGCUAGUUGGUGGGGUAACGGCUCACCAAGGCGACGAUACAUAGCCGACCUGAGAGGGUGAUCGGCCACACUGGGACUGAGACACGGCCCAGACUCCUACGGGAGGCAGCAGUAGGGAAUCUUCGGCAAUGGACGGAAGUCUGACCGAGCAACGCCGCGUGAGUGAAGAAGGUUUUCGGAUCGUAAAGCUCUGUUGUAAGAGAAGAACGAGUGUGAGAGUGGAAAGUUCACACUGUGACGGUAUCUUACCAGAAAGGGACGGCUAACUACGUGCCAGCAGCCGCGGUAAUACGUAGGUCCCGAGCGUUGUCCGGAUUUAUUGGGCGUAAAGCGAGCGCAGGCGGUUAGAUAAGUCUGAAGUUAAAGGCUGUGGCUUAACCAUAGUACGCUUUGGAAACUGUUUAACUUGAGUGCAAGAGGGGAGAGUGGAAUUCCAUGUGUAGCGGUGAAAUGCGUAGAUAUAUGGAGGAACACCGGUGGCGAAAGCGGCUCUCUGGCUUGUAACUGACGCUGAGGCUCGAAAGCGUGGGGAGCAAACAGG
rnacentral:rRNA from 1 species